GAAAGCAAUUAAAAAAUAUGAAGAUACUAAUUUUGUGCAACUAUGGAUUAGAGACGCUAAGACAAUUAAUGCUGCUAGAAAAAGCAUUCCAAAGAGAGCUAGUAUUAUGGGUCCACAAAUUAAAUACUCUUUUAUGAAGUACUGCUGCAUUCAUGGUGGACAAAAAUUUAAAUAUAAAGGCUUUGGAAAACGUCAAACUUCGACAUGUAAGAAUAAUUGCCCUUUCUACCUACACUUUCAGGCAUUGGAGGAUGGACAAACAUUAAUCUUGCAAGACUUAAACAAUACACAUAAUCACAAAGUAUCUGAAAACACAACGUGUCCUCUUUGGUAAUGUUGCAUCAGUUUGGAAACAGGUAACUUGUGGCAUUCCUCAGGGCUCAGUUCUUGGUCCAACACUGUUUAUAGUCUAUAUUAAUGACUUACCAAAAUACAUUAACAGCAAAAAUAAAUGCAAAAUGUACGCAGUUGACACAAAAGUCCUCAGUGUAGUUAACACAUUAGAAAGCAAACUUGGUCUGCAAGCUGACAUUGAUAAUAUUGUCAAUUGGAUCCAAUUACGGCUCAUGCAACUUAACAUCAAAAAAUGUAAAGUUAUGCACAUCAAAAUAUCCAAAUCUGUCCUUCACAUCUACUUCAUCAAUGAAAACAACUACAAUAGCAGAGUCAAAAGAAUCCAGCUAGAAACAACAACAUUGGAAAAAGACCUUGGUGAUCAACUAUCUGUUGAUUUAAAGUACAAAAGUCAAGUGUUCACCGCUGCUGCUAAAGCUAACAAAGUCUUAGGUAUGUUGAAGCAUACCUUUGUUAGCAAAGUAGUAAAAAUCUGGAAAAACCUCUAUACAACAUACGUACGUCCACAUCUAGAAAAUCCUAUCACCACCUGUUGCCCUCACCUUAAAAAAAACAUUACUGAAAUUGAACAAAUUCAACAUCGUGCCACA
rnacentral:misc_RNA from 1 species